AACGUAGGAGGCGAGCGUUAUCCGGAUUUACUGGGCGUAAAGCGCGUGUAGGCGGCGUAGAAAGUUGGAUGUGAAAGCUCCUGGCUUAACUGGGAGAGGUCGUUCAAAACUUCUAUGCUUGAGUUUGGUAGAGGAAAAUGGAAUUCCGGGAGUAGUGGUGAAAUGCGUAGAUAUCCGGAGGAACACCAGUGGCGAAAGCGAUUUUCUGGACCAAUACUGACGCUCAGACGCGAAAGCUAGGGUAGCAAACGGG
rnacentral:rRNA from 1 species